UACGUAGGGGGCAAGCGUUGUCCGGAUUUAUUGGGCGUAAAGAGCGUGUAGGCGGCUUUACAGGUCCGUUGUGAAAACUCGAGGCUCAACCUCGAGACGCCGGUGGAAACCGUAAAGCUAGAGUCCGGAAGAGGAGAGUGGAAUUCCUGGUGUAGCGGUGAAAUGCGCAGAUAUCAGGAAGAACACCCGUGGCGAAGGCGGCCCACUGGUCCGGUACUGACGCUGAGGUGCGAAAGCGUGGGGAGCAAACAGG
rnacentral:rRNA from 1 species